CUAGCUUUGUGUAAUAUACAUUGUCGAUGGUGUAUGUCAAUAAUUAUUAGGCUUUUGUUUCGACGGUUUGACGUGUUUUCGAAUAAAAUGGCGUAUCGAAAUGACCAUGGUUAUUAACUUCUUGUAGUAUAUUUCAGUGGCGACGAGGAUGGGAUUAUAUAAAAAACCUUUACAAGAAACUCUAUCAGUUGAAAUAAAUAAAACGGAAGAAGUUUCCAGGAAAGCCAGGAAUUCACCAAAAGUAAAAAUACUUUCUGAUAAUCUGGAUCCCAUUCUUCAUUAACCCAUGUACCAAGAUAUUUGUGCAUUGAAACUCUUUCGAGUGUUGUACAUGUGAGAGUUCUUAUUGAGGUUUGUUGCGGUUUUCUUGAUACUGUACAUAAACUUAGUCUUUGAGAGAUUCAUGCUUAGACCCGACUUUCUGCUACAUUUAUAAACGCUAUCUAUUAUUUUCUAAAGAUCUUGGGAA